CCAAGGAAUCUCUGGGGCUGCACUGGGAAGCCCAAGGACGGAUGCUGGAAGCUGCAGUCUGUGCCGAAAGCCCAGAGACAACAUCCAAGUUGAAAGCGAAGGGAAGGGUUCUCCUCCAAAGCGAACAACAGCCAUCCUUAGUGAAGACCAAGACCAGAGCUCAGCUCAAGAGAAUGGCUGAAGCCCGCUGAAGAAAGCCAGCCGGAAUGAAGCACUUCUGAGGAAAAUCAGCUGAAAUCCACCCCUCCCAUUCUCCUUUUAUCCUCUUCUGAUAGCAACACUCCUUGAGAGGAUCUUCCAUGCCCAGAAUCGUGCUGACUCCAUUCAGCUGGGCAUUCUCAUUCAGGCUGACAAUUGGUCAACUAAGUACCAUAAUUAGAAUAGACCCCUAAUCCAGUAUAACUGGGCCUUCUAAGAAAAGGGAAAUUUGAACACAGACAAAAGGGGAGAAGGCCAGGUAACCAUGGAAAUGGAGAUUAUUGAGAUUAUUCCAAAUGCUGGAAGUGAAAGGGAACCAGAGCCUUCAGAGGAACCAGCACCCUGCUGACAUCUGUAUGUCAGACUUCCAGCCUCCAGGACUGGGAGAAAAACGUAUCUGCUGUCCAAAGCCACCUGGUUUGUGUUACUAGGUUGGACAGCAGCCCUAGGAAGCUAAUACAAUGUCAGCUGGAAAAUCAACCCCCAGUGUCAGCACCACAGAGAGUCAUGCAAGGAUCAAAGGUAAACUAAAGUCAAAACCACCACAGUAUCCUCCUGUGUCUUACUCUAAAGAAAUAUUAAUAGUGCAUGUCUUUUCAGUUUCUUCACUGCUCAGUUUGUCAAUUCAGAUGGAAAAGUGGACUUUGGAAAUUUUCAGGCGUCCUGACCUUUCUCUGUUUCUGGGUCAUAUGCACUUAGGCAGCUUAUGUAACCUUUCUGAGUCUUAAUUUCAUCAUUAAAAAAAAAAGAGGAAGCAGGGGUAAUAACUCCUAGACGCAUACAUUAACUUAAAUGUAAGGACAGUCUGGACCAAAAGGACGAACCAGAGGUGUCGCAUACCCCCACACCCUACUCAGGCUGCCUGCGGUGCCCGUAAGGCUUGCAGUUAUCUCCAAGCUUGUCUUGCAGUCAUGAUGCUCCCCAACAAGAUCAAAGUUUCAUUAGACAGGCUGGUGGGGAGUCAUCUGUGAAGAGGAUUAUUCUAUUCAAUUCUCCCUAGUGGGAAUGACGAAGGUGGGGUUUCCCCUCCUCAAUUUACCUGCUUCAGACCAAAUGAGACAGACAGACAGACAGCAGAAACUUAAGCGAGGAGGGAACACACGCACUGAUGUCUCUCUCCCCCAGGCCUCAUUUCUAAAAGGCUACAAGCUGAGACCACGCGGGUAGAAGUCAGAGGGCCAGCCAGGAAUCAGCCGUGCAGGUGGGUGUCUCUAACAUCCCCACAAGAGGGCCCCAAAGAUAAAGAAUCGAUCGGUAUUUGGCUGCCCGCCACACCUGCGUGGAUCGAUUUUAACUGCCAGUUGGAUAUAUAACCUUUCAACCGUCCAACUCCUCCUUUUCCCUUGAGUCCCAAAGAGUCCACACGUGUGGGCGGAAGCGUGGAGAAGCAAGAGCAGGGCCUGGAAAGGAAGCAACACCCCGAGCGUGAGAGCUCCAGGGAGGGGACUAAGGAGAGGAACUGUGCGAGCUUGUGAUGGGACUUUGACGUCCAGUCACUUCACACUUUUAAGUGAACGUCACAAGAACAGCUGUGGACUCGAAGGGAAAUUCAUCCAAGGCUGGAGGUCAAUAUUAAAAAGCAAUAUGGAACUUACUUGGAAUGCCUUUGCUAUUUCACCACUUCAAAUGUUGACCGUUGAUUGAAGUAGAUAUUCUUUGUGCGGAAGGUAAUACCCUUCUGAGUCCGGAGCCACACAAUAAAGCUUCAGUCAAGGACAGAUCACACAGUAAAGCUUCAAUGAAGGACAUAGAUGAUGAUGGUGGUUGAACCUAGCGUGUGCAGUGCUGGGAUUAGAGGUGGGUGGUUGCUGGAUACUGACUGGAUUGGCACCACUCUAAUCCAGGCAGUCUGGAUAAGAUAAAAUAGACAGAAAGCGGCUCUCUCCUUGCUCCUUACUUCUGCUGUCUUCCACCACCAUGAGCUUUUGCCCCUCUGUCAUGUACCCCCUGCCUUGGAGCCAGCCAAUAUGGACUGAAACCUCUACACACUGUGAGCUAAGUAAAUCUCCCCACUUUUAUUGGAUGUUGUCUCAGCAGGGCAAAAAGAUCACAUGAUGUAGUGAUGUUGUAGGUUUCUUAAUUUGUGAAAGUGUACUCUAUGGUGUUGGUACAAUAAAAUUGCCUAAGGAUGCUUUCCUCUGA